rnacentral:rRNA from 1 species
GUGUCAGCAGCCGCGGUAAUACGUAGGGGGCAAGCGUUGUCCGGAUUUACUGGGCGUAAAGCGCGUGUAGGCGGCCGCACAGGUCCGUUGUGAAAACUGGAGGCUUAACCUUCAGACGUCGACGGAAACCGUGUGGCUAGAGUCCGGAAGAGGAGAGUGGAAUUCCUGGUGUAGCGGUGAAAUGCGCAGAUAUCAGGAAGAACACCAAUGGCGAAGGCAGCUCUCUGGGACGGUACUGACGCUGAGACGCGAAAGCGUGGGGAGCGAACAGGAUUAGAUACCCUGGUAGUCCACGCCGUAAACGAUGGGUGCUAGGUGUGGGAGGUGUCGACUCCUUCCGUGCCGCAGCUAACGCAUUAAGCACCCCGCCUGGGGAGUACGGCCGCAAGGCUAAA